CUGUAGAGUUGAGUUCCACUGC
rnacentral:misc_RNA from 1 species